rnacentral:rRNA from 1 species
GUGCCAGCAGCCGCGGUAAUACGUAGGGGCCGAGCGUUGUCCGGAGUUACUGGGCGUAAAGCGCGCGCAGGCGGUUCCCUAAGCCCGCCGUGAAAGCCCCCGGCUCAACCGGGGAGGGUCGGUGAGGGACUGGGGAACUUGAGGGCGGCAGGGGCUGGUGGAAUCCCCGGUGUAGUGGUGAAAUGCGUAGAGAUCGGGGGGAACACCCGUGGCGAAGGCGGCCAGCUGGGCCGACCCUGACGCUGAGGCGCGAAGGCGUGGGGAGCGAACGGGAUUAGAUACCCCGGUAGUCC